CGAGGGUCUGCGGCUUCAUUCUUGAAGUCAGUGAGAGCAAGAACCCACCAAUUCCAGACACAAUAGUAUCCACAGUGUGUAAAACAGUGAAGGCAUAUGUCCACAGUGAAACUUAAUCCCCGAGGUGUUACUGUCUCUCCAUGCCUGCAUGUGGAUCUCACCAUUCCUCUAGUCCUGGUGCUUGCUUUCAACACAGAGCUCUGGACUGCAAGGCAUUUGAUUUCUGGUAAUUAAUCAGCUCCUCAUACACGCUAUGUUUCUCCCCCAGGCCCAGCUCAAGUGAGUGAUCCAAAUCUGGCUUCAGGAAAAAAGAAAGUGUUUAUGCUCUGAGUGCACAGAAUGAAACACUGAUAAACAGUUCUUGGUAAAACAUUGAAUCACAUGGCAUUAUUUUUCUUUUCAAGUCAUAAGUCAUUGUGAAAAAAUACACGUAGCAAAAAAACCAAAACCAAAACAAAAGCCAAACAAAAACACGUUGGAUGCCCUUUAAACAGAAAGCAUUUUGUCCUGCUAGAAAGAGUUAUCAGGAUUUGCUGGUAUUUGUGUAUCUGGUGCCUUUUAAAGUGUUUGCCUAGAAUGUGAAUGUUCAUUUUUUAAACAUCUUUUUGUUUGACUCUUUAUCCACAGUACUUUAUCUUAUGGUU
rnacentral:lncRNA from 1 species